GAUGAACGCUGGCGGCAUGCCUUACACAUGCAAGUCGAACGGCAGCGGGGACUUCGGUCCGCCGGCGAGUGGCGAACGGGUGAGUAAUGCAUCGGAACGUACCCGGAAGUGGGGGAUAACGUAGCGAAAGUUACGCUAAUACCGCAUAUUCUGUGAGCAGGAAAGAGGGGGAUCUCCGGACCUCUUGCUUUCGGAGCGGCCGAUGUCAGAUUAGCUAGUUGGUGAGGUAAAGGCUCACCAAGGCGACGAUCUGUAGCGGGUCUGAGAGGAUGAUCCGCCACACUGGAACUGAGACACGGUCCAGACUCCUACGGGAGGCAGCAGUGGGGAAUUUUGGACAAUGGGCGCAAGCCUGAUCCAGCCAUGCCGCGUGAGUGAAGAAGGCCUUCGGGUUGUAAAGCUCUUUCGGCCGGGAAGAAAUCGCAUGGAUUAAUACUCUGUGCGGAUGACGGUACCGGCAUAAGAAGCACCGGCUAACUACGUGCCAGCCGCCGCAGUAACAC
rnacentral:rRNA from 1 species